rnacentral:rRNA from 1 species
CCUACGGGGGGCAGCAGUGGGGGAUAUUGCACAAUGGGGGAAACCCUGAUGCAGCGACGCCGCGUGUGGGAAGACGGUCCUCUGGAUUGUAAACCACUGUCCCCAGGGACGAAGAUGACGGUACCUGGGGAGGAAGCUCCGGCUAACUACGUGCCAGCAGCCGCGGUAAUACGUAGGGAGCGAGCGUUGUCCGGAAUUACUGGGGGAAAAGGGAGCGUAGGCGGGACUGCAAGUUGGGUGUCAAAUCUACCGGCUCAACCGGUAGCCGCACUCAAAACUGCAGUUCUUGAGUGAAGUAGAGGCAGGCGGAAUUCCUAGUGUAGCGGUGAAAUGCGUAGAUAUUAGGAGGAACACCAGUGGCGAAGGCGGCCUGCUGGGCUUUUACUGACGCUGAGGCUCGAAAGUGUGGGGAGCAAACAGGAUUAGAUACCCGGGUAGUC